rnacentral:lncRNA from 10 species
AAAGAAGCAGUACUGACAAGCGUCAGAGAAAUCUGCCUUAAGGAGUCUUUGGCUGAAGAGCUAUGUUGAAUAUAUGACUAGAAAAAACAACACAAAGAUGAGCGUUUUACUUCAAUAUUUUUUAUGGUUUUUUUUUUUUUUUGCCUGUCAGUUGGAUUUACUAUCCGGUUAUGGCUGAUCACAGUGGGAGACAUAGGUGCAAAUAAAAUAGAUAUUUAUGAGCUUUGUUUAUUUUAUGAGGUUAUUAAAUUCUUUUAUAAAAUAAGAACUUAGCAGUGCUAAGAUUUUUUUUCUUUCAUUCUACAUCCUGAAGUUCAGUCCUAGCCUGUGUCAUCCAGUCGUUUCCCAGCAUCCCUGUAUAUUAGGAGGAAAUAAAUCUAAUAUUUAAAAACUCUAAGUGGCAUUCAGGAGAGUUUUGAAUUUUUAAUGUGAACAUACAUUUUCUUGAGCCAGAAGCCCUUCAUCACUUCUCAGCUUUGUGGAAAAUAUUCCCAUCUUCAGUGUCACCAGCCAACCUCCUGGCCUGAUCCCGGCUCUGGCUGAACCAAGAGAACUUGUGUUCAGAUGGCUAAGGAAGCAAGAUUCCAAGGUGGAGUGGAGGCAGUGUGGCUGCCCAUGAGGUAAAAGCACCCCAGAGUUCUUCCCAACUUCAGAGCUGUCUUAAAGCUGUGCUCAAAAUCUUCAUAAGCUGCAAGUGCAGACGAGGAAUACUAAUUUGCCAAAUAUGUUCGGAGACUUUAUUGCACAACAUGGCUCAAAUCCUGAUUUCCAUUGAUUGCCAGGAAGUGUAGAAAAGCUGUAUCUUUGGAGCAAUGGCAAAUUUUGCCAUCUGUAAAAGUGAAUGAUAUUUCUAUUUUAAUGAAUAAAUU